rnacentral:rRNA from 1 species
AGUCGAACGAUGAAGCCCAGCUUGCUGGGUGGAUUAGUGGCGAACGGGUGAGUAACACGUGAGUAACCUGCCCUUGACUCUGGGAUAAGCGUUGGAAACGACGUCUAAUACCGGAUACGAGCUUCCACCGCAUGGUGAGUUGCUGGAAAGAAUUUUGGUCAAGGAUGGACUCGCGGCCUAUCAGCUUGUUGGUGAGGUAACGGCUCACCAAGGCGACGACGGGUAGCCGGCCUGAGAGGGUGACCGGCCACACUGGGACUGAGACACGGCCCAGACUCCUACGGGAGGCAGCAGUGGGGAAUAUUGCACAAUGGGCGAAAGCCUGAUGCAGCAACGCCGCGUGAGGGACGACGGCCUUCGGGUUGUAAACCUCUUUUAGCAGGGAAGAAGCGAAAGUGACGGUACCUGCAGAAAAAGCACCGGCUAACUACGUGCCAGCAGCCGCGGUAAUACGUAGGGUGCAAGCGUUGUCCGGAAUUAUUGGGCGUAAAGAGCUCGUAGGCGGUUUGUCGCGUCUGCUGUGAAAUCCCGAGGCUCAACCUCGGGUCUGCAGUGGGUACGGGCAGACUAGAGUGCGGUAGGGGAGAUUGGAAUUCCUGGUGUAGCGGUGGAAUGCGCAGAUAUCAGGAGGAACACCGAUGGCGAAGGCAGAUCUCUGGGCCGCUACUGACGCUGAGGAGCGAAAGGGUGGGGAGCAAACAGGCUUAGAUACCCUGGUAGUCCACCCCGUAAACGUUGGGCGCUAGAUGUGGGGACCAUUCCACGGUUUCCGUGUCGUAGCUAACGCAUUAAGCGCCCCGCCUGGGGAGUACGGCCGCAAGGCUAAAACUCAAAGGAAUUGAC